UACGUAGGUGACCAGCGUUGUCCGGAUUUACUGGGCGUAAAGAGCGCGCAGGCGGUCGUUCAAGUCGAGUAUGAAAGCCCCCGGCUCAACUGGGGAGGGUCAUUCGAUACUGAUCGACUUGAAGGCAGGAGAGGGAAGCGGAAUUCCCGGUGUAGUGGUGAAAUGCGUAGAUAUCGGGAGGAACACCAGCGGCGAAGGCGGCGUCCUGGACUGGUACUGACGCUCAGGAGCGAAAGCGUGGGGAGCGAUCCGG
rnacentral:rRNA from 1 species